UCAAGUCUCCCAUAAGCACAUGGAUUGUGCUUUAAAUGGAUGGUGAAGAUCCAUUCUUGAAAUUUGAUAAAUGGUAGUAUAAAAAGGCAAGUGUGGGAGACUUGUCUCUCUUUUGGCCAUUUGUAGAAAUGAAGAAGGAAGGAAAGAAAGAAAGAGAAAGAAGUCUUCCAUGGAGGGAAGAGUGAAGAAAGAGAGAAGAUAAUGAAGAAAUCAAAUGGGAGCAAAUGAAGAGGGAAGCUCUCUUGAGAAGAAGAAUUAAAGCUUCAAAGAGAAGAUUGUUAAGGUUGUUUUAUGGCAAGAGAAAAGGGAAAGUUGCAAGCUUGUGAUUGGAAGCUCUUGGAGUAUAUUACAUUUAUUUUUGUUGUAAAGUUAAGGCUUAAGAAGCCUAGGCAUGUGGUUAUUUUAAUUGUGACUUUAUGGCUAGGAGAGCCAUUUGUUGUAUUUAAUCAUGUGUGAUAUUUAUUUGGAGGUUGUUAUGUGAGCAACAAUAGGAUGUGUAAGGCUCAUGUGUGAAAUGGAAGGAA